UACACCAUAAAACCAUAUCUGUCUUUCUCUCAAUGUUUUGAAACCCGGACCGGGCUGCCUGGUCAGACCGGUCCGGCCGGGAUCCGGAGCCUAUACUGGACCGGUUCACCACAUCAGUUCAUUUCAGCAUCAGCUCGGCAGUCGUGCCGGGGGCCGGGCGGUCGGGCCGGCAGGUUGUCUCAUAGGGUCGAGCCGGUCAGAGCUUUCCGGCGAGCUUCAUAAAAGAACAACUUCUUAUCAUUCCGGCGACCUCCGAUGAACUGGUAAACUUUAAGGUGAAUAGAAUAAAAAGGAAGAAGAUAGAGGAAAAGAUUUUUGGGUUAAUACAAAAACUAAAGUAAUAUUUUAUAUAUUUUCUAGAGUUGUGGUACAGUGAUAGUGAUAUGACAUUUCCCUGUACCUCACUCUUUUUUUCCUUAUCUUUUAACGUUUAUUGGUUUAAUGAAUUCUUUUGAGAUGCCAUAUUGGUUUAAUAAAUACAAUUUUAGUUUUUCUCUUUUUAUUGUUCUGAUUAUUUAUUUUUUUCUAUAAUGUAUCAUUCAGUUUGCUUUAUGAUUUUAACUUUAUAUAACUUAGGUCCAAUGUUUUUUUAAAUCAUUAGUAAAAAAACUUAUGACGUAAUCCGGGUCUUAAAUCCGGUUGAACCGGUCGGACCGGUCCGACCUUUGACCCCGUAAGGCGACCGGGUCGACCUCCGGUCCGGUUCUGAAAACAUUUUCUCUCACCAAAAUGUUGAACCUUUUCCGAAAGUUUACUCCGGCAACCAGAUCAGCCGUGUUUAGGCUUACGCCGUCGGCAAGAUCGAACGUGAAGGACCAACUUUUCAAAUGGUCAAGAAAACGGGACUAUAAAAAAAGAGACGAGAUUCGGGACUGUAAAGGCUUCUUGGAACAAGCACCAUGAUGCGUUUAUUGCGUCAGUUUCGUUGAAGGCUGAUAAAGGCUUCCAGACUUUAAAAGUGUUUCUAAGCAACCGGGUGGCUGAAAUCACAGCAACAAGUGGAGACUACUGGGGGAGACUUAAGCUGAAGCUAGCUGGAAACAAACUUCUCUCCAGGCUUACACUUGGAAUGGGGAACAACAGAAAAUCAACGAUCCCACUCAGAUCGGUGCAGAGUGCCGUUUUCGGUACAGGAAAGGGGUGGUGGUUUUCGAGAACCACCUAGGAAUGUAGUACCACUUCCUGGGGUUGAGAAAGAAGGAGUGAAAUUUGAGGUAAAAAGUGGUCGGAUGUUAAUCAUAGGAACUCCGUUGCCGGGGGGGGGGGGGCUGAAGAGAAUGACAUGAUUGAUCUUAUGGUGCCGGAAAAGAAAGGGGAGUACACCCUUGAUGACUUAAAGAUUGACCGGAAAAAGCCGUUUGUUGU